rnacentral:rRNA from 1 species
CAGCAGCCGCCGCGGUAAUACGGAGGGUGCAAGCGUUAAUCGGAAUUACUGGGCGUAAAGCGCACGCAGGCGGUCUGACAAGUCAGAUGUGAAAUCCCCGGGCUUAACCUGGGAACUGCAUUUGAAACUGUCAGGCUGGAGUCUUGUAGAGGGGGGUGGAAUUCCAGGUGUAGCGGUGAAAUGCGUAGAGAUCUGGAGGAAUACCGGUGGCGAAGGCGGCCCCCUGGACAAAGACUGACGCUCAGGUGCGAAAGCGUGGGGAGCAAACAGGAUUAGAUACCCCUGUAGUCCCUGUCUCUUAUAC